rnacentral:sRNA from 1 species
CCCGAUCAAGUUUAGGGUCUUGGGUCGAUCCGACCCAAGAUCCUCGGGAC